UACGUAGGUCCCGAGCGUUGUCCGGAUUUAUUUGGCGUAAAGCGAGCGCAGGUGGUUUAUUAAGUCUGGUGUAAAAGGCAGUGGCUCAACCAUUGUAUGCAUUGGAAGCUGGUAGACUUGAGUGCAGGAGAGGAGAGUGGAAUUCCAUGUGUAGCGGUGAAAUGCGUAGAUAUAUGGAGGAACACCGGUGGCGAAAGCGGCUCUCUGGCCUGUAACUGACACUGAGGCUCGAAAGCGUGGGGAGCAAACAGG
rnacentral:rRNA from 1 species